ensembl:lncRNA
AAAGGAGCCAAGUGUUGCUAGUUAACUGAUUCUAGAGGGUACUACAUGGCAGUGUGGAGUCUGAGAAGCCUGGUCCAGGGCCCUGCUGAGCAAUGAGGAAGGCAGCAUGGCACCAUCUUGCCAGACCAGAGCCAGAACUGGGUUUUCUGCUCCCAUAGCCACCCCUCCACUUUUCAGUAUGUGGGGGUAGUUCCCAGCCUGAAAGUAAAUAGCCACCCUUGGUAUUGGCAUGUCCAGGGCUGCUGUCCAUUCCUAACUUUACAUCCCAUGGAUCCUGCUUUCUACUUUCCAUCGGGAGUUUCUCUGCUCCUGCCUUCCCUGCAGCCUAUCUCAGAGGACCCCUGGAUGGAGAAGCUAAAAAGUGGAGGACAGAGGAGGAAGGCCAGGCCUGACUCAAGGGCACAGCCCUGCCAGGUUGGAAAUAUCCAAUAUCAUCUGAGAAGUCAGACCUGCUUAUGGGACCAAGCAGCUGAAAGAAAGGAAGCAGAAGAAAAGACCUUGAUCCUGACUGUGAAGGCACAGUUACCCACUUCAGAUGAGACCCCCUUAGAGCUUCACUAUUUAACGUGGGAGCCACUAGCCACACGUGGCCACUGAACAUUUGUAAACGUAGCAAGUUUGAAGUGAGGUGUUCUGUAAGGGUAUAAUACAAACCUGAUUUUGAAGACUUAGUACAAAAAAAGAUAAAGUACCUUAUUUAUCUUUCAUAUAUUGCUUAUUUGCUUAAAUGAAAAUAUUUUACAUAUGUUGGAUAAAAUGAAUCAUUGAAAUUAAAGUUACCUG